GCGGGAGUGGCGAAACAGGUAAACGCAGAGGACUUAAAAUCCUCCGCCGUGUCAAAUGGCUUACGGGUUCGAGUCCCGUCUCCCGCACCA
rnacentral:tRNA from 1 species